GCAAAAGGAUUCUUGUUUCCAUGGAAGCCUCAUUAAAUCUACAUCUUGCUCAGUUUGGGUUUGAUCACAGCUGCCAGAAGUAUUUUUAGUCCAUGCAGUUGUGUAAUGAGAUGUGAAUUGGAGAGGAGGAAUAUACCUAAUGGACAGAGAGUGUGUACAUAUACAUACAUACAUACAUACAUACAUACAUACAUACAUACAUACAUACACACACACACGUGUGUGUGUGUGUGUGUGUGUGUGUGUAAAACUUGGAAAAAGAGGGUUUGAAGGAAGGGAGAAUGGUGGGGCACUUCUCUUGGGCAGCUGAAGCUGUGGUAUCCUGCCUUGAUGCUUCCCAUUGGAAGCCAGCCCAGGGGCACUUGCCACAACAACUGUUGUGGUCAUAUGUCCAGGGAACCUCUGACCUCCCUUUCCAUGAGCUCAGUUGGCUCCAGCCAGGGUGACACUUAAGCUGAAGUAUGAGUGCCAUCAUUGGGUUUCCCUCUACAGAGCUGAGGACAAGCAAGAGUAGUUGCUGGGCCCAGGACUGGGGCUCAGGAUCUGCAGUGUGGGGCAGAAGCAGAUCAGAGCCAUAGAGAGAAAAGUGUUAAGAUAUUAGAGGCUUGUGCACAAAGACAGGAUUGGCACUGGAAGCCAGUACCAAGUGCACACUUUGGCUGCUCAGGUUCUGAAAGCUCUAUGGUUGUGCUCUGCCCUGAACCAGCAUGUCAGAAAAGCUCCUUAGGCUGUCUGAGACAACUAUAGUUGUUGGACUAUGUGUGGACAUAUGUAUAAGUGUGUGUGUGUGUGUGUGUGUGUGUGUAAGGAGGUCAUUCGGUGUUAUAGGUUUUCUAUUCAUAUUAAUUUGUUUUCUUUCUGUGAGUUUGGGCCUUGGCCAGUGACGAUAUCUCCCCACUGAUACAAAAUCUGAGACAGAGCAGUUGAGAAGUUUAGUCACAGUGGCCAAACAAGCUUGUGGUGGGACUAGGCUCGGUACCCAAGUGACUUGACUGGAGAGUCAGCAGACAGAAAGUGGCAUAGUCCUCCUGGAAGUCACACACUUUAAACUGCUUUCACUAUGCAGAACCAUUUACAGUGGCUUUGUAUGGAUGAACUGAAAGGCAUGUAGAUGUGUCCCUGAAGUCUCAUUCAUCCUCAAAGAGAUGUUUUGUUUUGUUUUGUUUUAUAAAAGAUUUUCUGAGGGCGGUACCUAUAGCUAUCAAGUCUUUACCAUUGAGAUUCUCCUGAGUCCAGAUCUGAUUCUGGCCCAGUCCCUCUGCCCACUGACUUCCCGUUGGCUUUUACAGCCUCUCUUGGGCCUCGGGGCCUCCCAGUAUUUCUGCAAGAUGGUGUCUCACCUUCCCUUUACUGCAGCAGGCAUUUCUGACCUAUUCUGAGGCCACAUACCUCUUGCCUCUUUCUCAGGACACUGAGAAAGCAUUUAACUUUCUACACAUUCCCGUCUACUUCUCCAAAGGGCACCAUGGCAGCCUGCUGGCCUCCUUAACCAGCAGCCUCCAAUUAUCUCUUUGUUGACCUGACUCUCUUCAAGGACUUGACUUUCUCUGGACUUGCCAGCUGCCUUACUCACG
rnacentral:lncRNA from 1 species